rnacentral:misc_RNA from 1 species
UCUAGGUUGUCCUAGCAGUCUAUUUAGAGUUCUCAACUAAAUGGUAGCAACUAAAUAUGAGGGUUGCGUUCGUUAUAGCACUUAAGCAUACGCUUCACAGCACGAACUGACGACGACCAUGCACCACCUGUGUCGGGAUAACCUCCAUUGAGUUUCCUCAACUUUGCCCUCCAUGUCAAACCUUGGUAAGGUUCUGCGCGUCGUAUCGAAUUAAACCACAUGCUCCACCGCUUGUGCGGGUCCCCGUCAAUUCCUUUGAGUUUUAGCCUUGCGGCCGUAGUCCCCAGGCGGAGCAUUUAAAGCGUUAGCUGCGACACUAGGCAAAUGCCUAAUAUCUAAUGCUCAUCGUUUAGGGCGUGGACUAC